rnacentral:lncRNA from 1 species
UAAGUGGCUUCCUGAGACGAGGAAGAAUGUCGAAGCCUGUCACAGAAAAUUCAAGUAGGCCUGAUGAGCGUGCCGUUAGGAGAGCUUCUUGACAGAUUCAUGGUUCCAGUGAUAUUUGCUUACUUGCAAAGAUGUCUUUGAUCGGCGGUGAUGCAGUAGUAGGAUGGUUCAGUUCAACUGGUGAAUUUAUCGGCUGGUGAAGUGCAGAGGUCUGCAUUUCAUUUUCCUGUAGAAGCUGUUUGUCCCUUGUAGGCCCUUAGACUAGCCAACAAUGUGUCUCUGGUCGAUUCAUGCUUGUGAAACUUGUACCUAUCUGAUUGCCAGUUUGCCAUGUUAUUUAACCGGUGAGUUUAUGGGCUGGUGAUGUGCAGAGGUCUGCAUUUCAUUUUCCUGUAGAAGCUGUUUGUCCUUGAUAGGCCGUUAGAGCAACUCCAACACGCUGACCCAUUUUGUUUGCGCGUGUCCGUUUGGAUCGCCGUGGAUAGAAAAGUCAACCCAAUGCGCUGGCCCAAAUUGACAUGCUCCCACCUUUUGUCUGGCUGCCGACCCAUUCCCGGCCCAACUGGGCCUGAUAGCGUCGGUGCGGACAUGAAGCGGACGCGUGCGAUGCCCGUCUACUCCUCUCCUUGGCCCGCUAGUGGGCGGCGGAUUGGCCACCCUCAACCCUGCCCUGUUGCUGUCGUCGCCCAGUUUCGGUGUCUCUGCCAGUGGUCCAUGCCUCCACACCUUCCAUGCCGUCACCACCCACGUCGCCGCACCGCCUGGCCACCGCAGUCCCCCCUCUCCGACAUCGGCGCGAGCAUUAAGUCGUCCCCUGCGGCCAUGACCAACUCCUUUGUCCGACAUCACCCCCGCUGACGCUGUCACGCUCGUCGGACGCCGCCAGGCCAGCCACUGGUCCAGGUGAGGCACGUCUCUCUUCGCCGGCCAACUUCUUCGUCGACGCCCGCAAGCUGUUCGACAGUUUGCCUCAAGGUACAAAUGGACUCCGUCGACGAGUUCUUUUUUCACAAUUUCCUGUGCGACAUUGACGAUUCCUCAUCCGAUGAUGAGGAGAUGCUAGUUGUUGUGUUGGUCCAUGACCAUCUUAAUAGGCCGCGGCCGUUGUUCCGGGGCUCGAUCCCGGGACACGUUACGACGUUGAAUCGCAACCGAGAGAGCGGCCAUUUGCUUCUAUGGAAGGACUACUUUAACACAACCAACCCGCUGUUCAAACAUCAGAAAUUCCAGCAGCGUUUCCGUAUGGCUAGGCAUGUUUUCAACCGUAUUAGAGAGGGGUGGUCGAAUACGAUAAUUAUGUCGAGUGCAAAGUGGAUGCCUUUGUAAAGAUUGGCUUCUCAUCUUAUCAGAAAUGCAUUGCAGCCAUCUGGAUGCUUGCAUAUGCAGUGCCCGACGAUCUCAUUGAUGAGUACAUUCGUAUGAGCGAGUCUAUGUUCCUAGAGUCCAUGUACAUGUUCUACAAGGUUGUGAUUGUUGUGUUUGGCCCUGAGUAUUUGAGACAGUCGACUGUUGCAGAUAUAGCCGCUUGUUGGCGAUGAAUGUCAGCAGAGGCCUCCCAGGGAUGCUGGGUAGCAUGGACUGCAUGCACUGGGAGUGGAAGAACUGCCCUUCUGCUUGGCAAGGGCAGUAUAAGGGCCAUGUCAGGGCUUGCACUGUCAUACUUGAGGCCGUGGCCUCACAAGAUCUUUGGAUUUGGCACUCUUUAUUCGGCAUGACCGGGUCACACAAUGAUAUCAACGUACUUCAACGCUCGCCGGUGUUUACAAGGCUUGCCGAAGGCAACAACCCACCGGUGAAUGUUAACAUCAAUGGCCACAACUACGACAAAGGAUACUACCUAGGUGACGGUAUCUAUCCUAAGUGGACCAUUAUCUGAAGACAAUCCCCAACCCUGUCGGAGAGAAAAGGAAAAGGUUUGCCCAAGAGCAAGAAAGUGCUAGGAAGGAUGUCGAGCGUGCCUUUGGUGUUCUGCAAUCUCGAUGGGGCAUCAUUCUGUAUCCUGCUAGAACUUGAAGCACCAAGAAGUUGUGGGAGGUGAUGACUGCUUGUGUGAUCAUGCACAAUAUGAUCGUAGAGGAUAAGCGUCCGGAACGUAUUUACGAUCAAGGGUUUCAGUGUCAGGGUGAGAAUGUUGUGCCUAAGCAUGGAGGAGGAGCGACAACGUUUGCACAGUUCAUUCAAUUUCAUCAUGAAAAUGCGUGAUUGAGAAACUCACUUAUAACUAUAAAAUAAUUUGGUUGAGCAUAUGUGGGCGCAUGUUGGCAAUCAAUAGAUGUAUCUUUUAAAAAAAUGUAUUUGAGAUAAUUUAAUUUUUAUUCGGCUUGUAAACUAUGCUAUAUUUAUUUGGUUAUAAAACUAUGCUAUUUUUGUUUGGUUGUGAAACUAUGCAAAUAUAUGUGUAUAUUUGUUAAAAAAUGACGACAAACCGGCCACGCAGACGAAUAUGGGUCGGCCCAUUGGACACACCAUCGACCUAAAUUAUAAACAGGACGGACGCCAAGCGGGGCGACCGGCUAAACGGAUAAAAUCGCCGUCCGUUUGGGGUCAGCGCAUUGGAGUUGCUCUUAGACUAGCCAACAAUGUGUCUCCGGUCGAUUCAUGCUUGUGAAACUUGUACCUAUCUGAUUGCCAGUUGACCAUGUUA